rnacentral:rRNA from 1 species
UACGGGGGGGGGCAAGCGUUGUUCGGAAUUACUGGGCGUAAAGGGCUCGUAGGCGGCCAACUAAGUCAGACGUGAAAUCCCCAGGCUCAACCUGGGAACUGCGUCUUGAUACUGGAUGGCUUGAAUUCGGGAGAGGGAUGCAGAAUUCCAGGUGUAGCGGUGAAAUGCGUAGAUAUCUGGAGGAAUACCGGGUGGCGAAGGCGGCAUCCUGGACCGACAUUGACGCUGAGGAGCGAAAGCUAGGGGAGCAAACGGG